rnacentral:rRNA from 1 species
UACAGAGGUCUCAAGCGUUGUUCGGAUUCAUUGGGCGUAAAGGGUGCGUAGGCGGCGCGGUAAGUCGGGUGUGAAAUCUUGGAGCUUAACUCCGAAACUGCAUUCGAUACUGCCGUGCUUGAGGACUGGAGAGGAGACUGGAAUUUACGGUGUAGCGGUGAAAUGCGUAGAUAUCUGGAGGAACACCGGUGGCGAAGGCGGCAUCCUGGACCAAUUCUGACACUGAGGAGCGAAAGCCAGGGGAGCAAACGGG